AACGAACGCUGGCGGCAGGCUUAACACAUGCAAGUCGAACGCCCCGCCAGGGGAGUGGCAGACGGGUGAGUAACGCGUGGGAACAUACCCUUUUCUACGGAAUAGCUCUGGGAAACUGGAAUUAAUACCGUAUACGCCCUACGGGGGAAAGAUUUAUCGGGGAAGGAUUGGCCCGCGUUGGAUUAGCUAGUUGGUGGGGUAAAGGCCUAUCAAGGCGACGAUCCAUAGCUGGUCUGAGAGGAUGAUCAGCCACAUUGGGACUGAGACACGGCCCAAACUCCUACGGGAGGCAGCAGUGGGGAAUAUUGGACAAUGGGCGCAAGCCUGAUCCAGCCAUGCCGCGUGAGUGAUGAAGGCCUUAGGGUUGUAAAGCUCUUUCACCGAUGAAGAUAAUGACGGUAGUCGGAGAAGAAGCCCCGGCUAACUUCGUG
rnacentral:rRNA from 1 species